rnacentral:rRNA from 1 species
CACGUAGGGGGCAAGCGUUGUCCGGAAUCAUUGGGCGUAAAGAGCUCGUAGGCGGCUCAGUAAGUCGGGUGUGAAACCCUCAGGCUCAACCUGGGGACGCCACCCGAUACUGCUGUGGCUAGAGUCCAGUAGGGGAGUGUGGAAUUCCCGGUGUAGCGGUGAAAUGCGCAGAUAUCGGGAGGAACACCAGCGGCGAAGGCGGCACUCUGGGCUGGUACUGACGCUGAGGAGCGAAAGCGUAGGUAGCAAACAGG